ACCCGCCAGCCCCGCGCUCUACCAGGCAGAGCGCGUGUGGCCGCCGAGCACAUGGACCCACUGGUCAAGCGGGCUCGGCAAGGCCAGGAUGAAGAGAAGCUACGAACUUAGCAUUCCCAGAGCCCCCCGAGUGGAUAUCCGCGUGGAAAGGAUGUUGGCAGCCCCGGUGACCUCGGAGUCACGGCUGGAUCCACCCUCUUAGAGCCGAGUUCUGUCACCACAGACAUUGGCAGUGGCACUUGCAUGCCCCUGGCAAGCAGUCUAUCCUGAGGUGGAGGAAGUUGCCCUUGAGUUCUGGCUGGUAACCAGCACAGUAUACCCUUUAAGCGUUCCAGAAGGAUUUUGAGAUCCUUUCCUAAAUCAAAGGUGGAAUAUUUGGGGAUUUGGAAAAUUGAGGCUUCAGAGAAAUCAGGAGCGGUGAAUGAUCGAAAUGGACCUUUGAGAUUACAGUGUGGAGCUGACAUUGCCAGUUAAGCCUGGGCAGAUCUGACUUAAUUGAUUUAGUUGUUGGAGCAGAGACAACCCAGAGGCUUGGAUCAGCCUCCCCAUCUGACAGUGUGCUGAUGUGAAGCGUUGACUUAAGAGAUGCCAAGUAACUCAGCAGAUGUCACACAGACGAUAAAUAGCAAAGAUGGAAGUCUUCAUGCCGGAGGCAAUCCUAUAAGACAGCUGAGUUCUGCAGAGCUGGUAGGAGACAGACUUGCUCAGGUGAUAGAUCCAGCCAUGAUACUGACCCUAAGAGAAUGAGACGCUCUGCAGAAGACAGAAGAUUCCUGAAACUGGGAAAGGUGCCUAGAAAUCCUGAUAAGAGUGAAGAAGGGUACCUGGAGGCACAGCAGCCAUGUUGAACCUAUGAGGUGAUGAAAAACCAUGCAACUAGAAACCAGAAUGGAAGAAAAGAAGAAGCUGGAUCCUUGACUGAAUUGUCGAUGGGGGAUAGUCCAUCAUCCCAGGGCUAAGACCACCUCCAGAUUUCUUGUUUGGUGAAACAAGUCCUGAUUGUUUACAUUCCCUCGUGUUGAGCUGUCUCUUGCUUGUAGCUGAAAGCAUUUCUAAUAGAUAUUCAGAUUAUCAGCCUUAGCUCCAAGCUAGAAUACUCUAUGGGACCUUAGCUUCUCCAUGAAUUCCUUUGCUCAUCUGUGUAAUGCUCAAUAAAUGUAAAUUGAACCCUGAAUGAGGGACAAUGACACUA
rnacentral:lncRNA from 1 species